rnacentral:rRNA from 1 species
GACGAACGCUGGCGGCGUGCUUAACACAUGCAAGUCGAACGGAAAGGCCCUGCUUUUGUGGGGUGCUCGAGUGGCGAACGGGUGAGUAACACGUGAGUAACCUGCCCUUGACUUUGGGAUAACUUCAGGAAACUGGGGCUAAUACCGGAUAGGAGCUCCUGCUACAUGGUGGGGGUUGGAAAGUUUCGGCGGUUGGGGAUGGACUCGCGGCUUAUCAGCUUGUUGGUGGGGUAGUGGCUUACCAAGGCUUUGACGGGUAGCCGGCCUGAGAGGUUGACCGGCCACAUUGGGACUGCGAUACGGCCCAGACUCCUACGGGAGGCAGCAGUGGGGAAUAUUGCACAAUGGGCGGAAGCCUGAUGCAGCAACGCCGCGUGCGGGAUGACGGCCUUCGGGUUGUACACCGCUUUCGCCUGUGACGAAGCGUGAGUGACGGUAAUGGGUAAAGAAGCACCGGCUAACUACGUG